AGGACGAACGCUGGCGGCGUGCUUAACACAUGCAAGUCGAGCGAGGCCCUUCCUUCGGGAAGGUGCCCUAGCGGCGAACGGGUGAGUAACACGUGGGCAACCUGCCCCUAGCACUGGGAUAACUCCGGGAAACCGGGGCUAAUACCGGAUAUGACCUCCGAGGGCAUCCUUGGUGGUGUAAAGGAAUCUGGCUAGGGAUGGGCCCGCGGCCUAUCAGCUUGUUGGUGGGGUAAUGGCCUACCAAGGCGACGACGGGUA
rnacentral:rRNA from 1 species